AGAGUCCAAGCAGGGCAAAAGUGAGAAACGUCAGAGAGGAGAGAGAUGGCGGUCAGAUAAUCAAAUGCAUGGCUGCGCAGGCUCUCUGCUGUCGAUCCGGUUUGAGUGGCAGAGGCGGCCGACCCUGUCCUCCCAGCUCCCUCUUUGACGUUUCCUCCCAGAGGAAAGAACAGGGAAAAAAAUUUUCUUUUUUUCCCUGUAAAAAGAUGUUAAAAUAUAAAUGUUUAACACAAUGGAUGGAUGAGUUGCAUAGGGAGUAACGAUGGUGCAUUUGUAAAUCUCGGUGUAAAGUAUGGGGCUGCAAUAAAAACGUUGCAUUUUAAAGCUCAGCAGAAAAAAACAAGAUUAAAGUAAUUACCAAUGCACUGCAGGAGUUGGGCAAAUAUACAGUAAAGGGAGGCAAAAGAACAAGCGAAAAAACCCUGAGAGCACGUUUUUAUUUUAUUUCCUCUCGGUCUCCUCAGCCGGCGCCCGCUGUGCAGCUGAAGCCAUUUGUUAAACGUGUUAUAUAACCACCGUGGAACUUCACAAAGGGGGAAAAUGUGCCACAGCAGUGCAGUGAACAAUCAAUAUUACCAUUCACUCAGCAGCCGAAAGAGUGCGACCGCGCUACCUGACAAUAAAUUAAUGUUCCGUUUUAUCGCCGUACUUUUCUCCGUUGAGCUUAAAUUUCAGAGGUGGCGCCAAAGAGUCGGCCAGAGUGUCUUUGGAUCUCGGAUAGGAAGCUUGCCGAGGAGCAACGUCGUUCUUUUCCUGGGAGAUCAUUAGUAGCGAUCACCGUGUUCGCACCUAUAAUCACUCACGAACCACUUGGGAAUUUGAGGAGCUAACACAAUAGGCCAAUAAUUAAAGCAAACGUUGAAGACAGCAGGGUCCAAGCGUCCGUGUGCACAUGUGUGAGCGAGGUCCAAUCUGUGCGCGUGAGAGAGGGAGAGAGGAAAGUGGAUUCGAGAUAGGACCCGAUCAAGUGAAUUCAUUUCCCCCGAGCUCGUUCGGCAGAGAGGCACACUUGAUCUACAUGUAAAGGAACAACUGAAGGACAUGGCAUGGAGAAGAAAGAGGAAGAAAAAAAAAUCCACAGUGAUAGAAAGGCCAGUGGAACAGUGAGGUCCUUCAUGGACAGGCGAGGGGACGUCUGAGGAGUAGAUGACCUGGAAACAGCCUCUCUCCACGUGCGAGUGGAGUUUGUCUCGGUUUGUAGCUGCCUCCUCCUGCUCUGAGACAGCCAGGCGGGAGGGUGCUGGAUUAGCCGAACUGCACGCACACACCGCCAGAAAUGAUUUAUUUCUGCACUCCAAUUAAAACGAGGAUGGCUC